rnacentral:rRNA from 1 species
CAACUUUCAACAACGGAUCUCUUGGCUCUCGCAUCGAUGAAGAACGCAGCGAAAUGCGAUAAGUAAUGUGAAUUGCAGAUUUUCAGUGAAUCAUCGAAUCUUUGAACGCACCUUGCGCCCCUUGGUAUUCCGAGGGGCAUGCCUGUUUGAGAGUCAUUA